AGAGUUUGAUCAUGGCUCAGAAUCAACGCUGGCGGCGUGCCUAACACAUGCAAGUCGCACGAGAAAGUGGAGCAAUCCAUGAGUAUAGUGGCGCACGGGUGAGUAACACGUGAAUUAUCUACCUCCGAGUGGGGGAAUAACUGAGAGAAAUCUUAGCUAAUACCGCAUAACACUUACGAGUCAAAGCAGCAAUGCGCUUGGAGAGGAGUUCGCGGCCGAUUAGUUAGUUGGCGGGGUAAUGGCCCACCAAGACGAUGAUCGGUAUCCGGCCUGAGAGGGCGCACGGACACACUGGAACUGAAACACGGUCCAGACUCCUACGGGAGGCAGCAGUGGGGAAUUUUGCGCAAUGGGGGAAACCCUGACGCAGCAACGCCGCGUGGAGGAUGAAAUAUCUUGGUAUGUAAACUCCUUUCGAUGGGGAAGAUUAUGACGGUACCCAUAGAAGAAGCCCCGGCUAACUUCGUGCCAGCAGCCGCGGUAAUACGAGGGGGGCAAGCGUUGUUCGGAUUUAUUGGGCGUAAAGGGUGCGUAGGCGGUUUGGCAAGUCUGAUGUGAAAUCUAUGGGCUCAACCCAUAGUCUGCAUCAGAAACUGCCGGGCUUGAGUAUGGGAGAGGUGAGUGGAAUUUCCGGUGUAGCGGUGAAAUGCGUAGAUAUCGGAAGGAACACCUGUGGCGAAAGCGGCUCACUGGACCAUAACUGACGCUGAUGCACGAAAGCUAGGGGAGCAAACAGGAUUAGAUACCCUAGUAGUCC
rnacentral:rRNA from 1 species